rnacentral:rRNA from 1 species
UACGUAGGGGCUAGCGUUGUCCGGAAUCAUUGGGCGUAAAGAGCGUGUAGGCGGCCCGGUAAGUCCGCUGUGAAAGUCGGGGGCUCAACCCUCGAAUGCCGGUGGAUACUGUCGGGCUAGAGUGCGGAAGAGGCGAGUGGAAUUCCUGGUGUAGCGGUGAAAUGCGCAGAUAUCAGGAGGAACACCGGUGGCGAAGGCGGCUUGCUGGGCCAGUUCUGACGCUGAGGAGCGAAAGCGUGGGGAGCGAACAGGA